rnacentral:rRNA from 1 species
GAUGAACGCUGGCGGCGUGCCUAAUACAUGCAAGUCGAGCGAACGGACGAGAAGCUUGCUUCUCUGAUGUUAGCGGCGGACAGGUGAGUAACACGUGGAUAACCUACCUAUAAGACUGGGAUAACUUCGGGAAACCGGAGCUAAUACCGGAUAAUAUUUUGAACCGCAUGGUUCAAAAGUGAAAGACGGUCUUGCUGUCACUUAUAGGUGGAUCCGCGCUGCAUUAGCUAGUUGGUAAGGUAACGGCUUACCAAGGCAACGAUGCAUAGCCGACCUGAGAGGGUGAUCGGCCACACUGGAACUGAGACACGGUCCAGACUCCUACGGGAGGCAGCAGUAGGGAAUCUUCCGCAAUGGGCGAAAGCCUGACGGAGCAACGCCGCGUGAGUGAUGAAGGUCUUCGGAUCGUAAAACUCUGUUAUUAGGGAAGAACAUAUGUGUAAGUAACUGUGCACAUCUUGACGGUACCUAAUCAGAAAGCCACGGCUAACUACGUGCCAGCAGCCGCGGUAAUACGUAGGUGGCAAGCGUUAUCCGGAAUUAUUGGGCGUAAAGCGCGCGUAGGCGGUUUUUUAAGUCUGAUGUGAAAGCCCACGGCUCAACCGUGGAGGGUCAUUGGAAACUGGAAAACUUGAGUGCAGAAGAGGAAAGUGGAAUUCCAUGUGUAGCGGUGAAAUGCGCAGAGAUAUGGAGGAACACCAGUGGCGAAGGCGACUUUCUGGUCUGUAACUGACGCUGAUGUGCGAAAGCGUGGGGAUCAAACAGGAUUAGAUACCCUGGUAGUCCACGCCGUAAACGAUGAGUGCUAAGUGUUAGGGGGUUUCCGCCCCUUAGUGCUGCAGCUAACGCAUUAAGCACUCCGCCUGGGGAGUACGACCGCAAGGUUGAAACUCAAAGGAAUUGACGGGGACCCGCACAAGCGGUGGAGCAUGUGGUUUAGUUCGAAGCAACGCGAAGAACCUUACCAAAUCUUGACAUCCUUUGACAACUCUAGAGAUAGAGCCUUCCCCUUCGGGGGACAAAGUGACAGGUGGUGCAUGGUUGUCGUCAGCUCGUGUCGUGAGAUGUUGGGUUAAGUCCCGCAACGAGCGCAACCCUUAAGCUUAGUUGCCAUCAUUAAGUUGGGCACUCUAAGUUGACUGCCGGUGACAAACCGGAGGAAGGUGGGGAUGACGUCAAAUCAUCAUGCCCCUUAUGAUUUGGGCUACACACGUGCUACAAUGGACAAUACAAAGGGCAGCGAAACCGCGAGGUCAAGCAAAUCCCAUAAAGUUGUUCUCAGUUCGGAUUGUAGUCUGCAACUCGACUACAUGAAGCUGGAAUCGCUAGUAAUCGUAGAUCAGCAUGCUACGGUGAAUACGUUCCCGGGUCU